GAUGAAGAACGUAGCGAAAUGCGAUAAGUAGUGUGAAUUGCAGAAUUCAGUGAAUCAUCGAAUCUUUGAACGCACAUUGCGCCCCUUGGUAUCCCGAGGGGCAUGCCUGUUCGAGCGUCAUUUCACCACUCAAGCCUGGCUUGGUGUUGGGCGACGUCCCCUUUGGGGACGCGCCUCGAAACGCUCGGCGGCGUGGCACCGGCUUUAAGCGUAGCAGAAUCUUUCGCUUUGGAAGUCGGGGCCCCGUCUGCCGGAAGACCUACUCGCAAGGUUGACCUCGGAUCAGGCAGGGAUACCCGCUGAACUUAAACAUAUCAAUAAGCGGAGGA
rnacentral:misc_RNA from 1 species